rnacentral:rRNA from 1 species
AGUGAACGCUGGCGGUAGGCCUAAUACAUGCAAGUCGAACGAAAGCACAAUAAGAGUUUGCUCUUAAGGGUGGCGAGUGGCGGGUGGGUGAGGCAUACAUCGGAAACUACUAUUACGUGGGGGACAACGUAGGACAACUUACGCUAAUACCGCAUACGACCUACGGGAGAAAUCAGGGGAUCUUCGUACCUUGCCCGUUACAAUUAGACGACGUCGGAUUAGCUAGUUGGGAUGGUAAGGGCCCACCAAGGCAACGAUCCGUAGCUGAUCUGAGAGGAUGAUCGGCCACACUGGAACUGAGACACGGUCCAGACUCCUACGGGAGGCAGCAGUGGGGAAUAUUGGGCAAUGGGCGAAAGCCUGAGCCAGCCAUGCCGCGUGGGUGAAGAAGGUCUUCGGGUUGUAAAGCCCUGUUGUUAGGAAAGAAAAGCAGCAGGUGAAUACCCCGCUGUUCUGACGGUACCCAAAGAGUAAGCACCGGCUAACUUCGUG